rnacentral:rRNA from 1 species
GUGAGGAAUAUUGGUCAAUGGGCGAAAGCCUGAACCAGCCAUGUCGCGUGAAGGAUGAAGGUCCUAUGGAUUGUAAACUUCUUUUGCAGGAGGGUAAAGUGAGCUACGUGUAGUUCAUUGCAAGUACCCUGCGAAUAAGCAUCGGCUAACUCCGUGCCAGCAGCCGCGGUAAUACGGAGGAUGCGAGCGUUAUCCGGAUUUAUUGGGUUUAAAGGGUGCGUAGGCGGACUAAUUAGUCAGCGGUGAAAUUUUGCGGCUCAACCGUAAAACUGCCGUUGAAACUGUUAGUCUUGAGUGCGGUAGAGGUAGGCGGAAUGUGUGGUGUAGCGGUGAAAUGCUUAGAUAUUACAUGGAAUACCAAUUGCGAAGGCAGGUUACUACUUGUGGAUUGACGCUGAUGGACGAAAGCGUGGGGAGCGAACAGGAUUAGAUACCCGGGUAGUCC